rnacentral:lncRNA from 1 species
UUAAUGUUCUCAUAAUUCCAGUUAGUAGAGGUUGUGAAAUGUUCCUUGCAUGUUCUCUUGGUACAGGAGUCUAGCUUUCCUGUGUUAGACAGUGUUCUCUUCAAGUGUAGGUGCCUAGAUUGAAUUAAGAAGUGUUUUCUAAGAUAGUGCCAGCACAGUGGCAGAGUACCUAUGUCUCUGGGAACCAAUGUGUAGCAUUACAACUUCCCACAAGAGCCCUGUCAUGUUUCAAGCAAUUUUUAAAAAGUGUGUGUUGGAAAAGGUCAACAAAGUUUACAUUUCAUACUUUUAAGAAACACUUUAUUAUUUAUUUAUUGAAGAUAGUGUAGAAUUUUGUAUCAAGAACAACAGACAUAAGUAUUUUUUGAAACAAGCAGAUAAUCUCUUUAGUUAGAAACUUUCAACUGAACUUGUUAAGGACCGAGUUCAACUUCAGGCAUGCAUUUGUUUACCACUUCCCAGCAGAAAACAUGGUUAAAAUACUUUAAGUUUAUAUUUUUGAUGUUGUUAAGAAACUUUUAAAUUAAAUCUAUAAAUAGACAUGUAACUCCUGCUUUCCUGUUUCUAUAACCGAUAGUUUGCUCAGUGUAUUUAUGAAGGACAUGUUACCCUAGUAGGAAAAAAAGUAUUAAAUGUGUAAGUGGGGUAGUGCUGGGUAACCAUCACAGUCUCUUUCUUGCUGUUCUCCAUUUUCUUCCUUUACUGACUUUAUUUUCGUGUUUGUGUUGGACAUCGCUGUUCCUAUAAGGGAGGGUGUGGUUAUAGGACAAACAUCUUAUAACUUGUAGGUUUCAGGUCACUUACUCAUAGGGUCCUGUUACUGGAAUUAAUGUAGCAUGAAAUGCAAUGUGUGAGUUGUUUCCCCCUGAUGAGUCUUCUGAGCAUCCUUGAGAUGCUCCUCAGAGUAGCAAGUUCUGGAUUAGUGUCCUUGCAUUUACUGGGGUACUCUGUGACAUGACUGAUCUCAUGCUUAUAGAUGAGUUGGGCUGGCCCUCACACCCAGUUGAUGAGAUGUGCUGGGGAGAGAGAAGCAUGGACGGUGGGUGAAGUCUCAGACCCUUGGCCCUCUAUUCCUUCACCUCUACCAUUUCAACCUUAUGGGCUACAUUGAAUACAGAUGAAAUGCCCUUGCCAAUAAGAAGUCCGACUUCUAGCUCUUUGCUUUCCAAAUACAGGGUUGCUCCAGGCUAUGCCUCUUGGGGUCCUGAGCCCAGCCUUUUAGACACUUGCAAAUGUCCUUCUUCUCAGUCAUACUGCUAGUUUCUCCUGCUCACUCUGAGCUCCUCUCACCCAAGAAGGGGCAUUCCUGGUGGCGAGGCUCUGAUCCUCAGUCAUCCCCGAGAAUUAUCCUAGCGGACAGGAGCCCUUGGGCUGGGCCUUCAUUAGACCAGCUGUCCUGCAGGGACAGUCCAUAUCCAAGGCCCUCUGCAGCAAGGCUUCUGUGGCGGAUAUUUCCUCUCCUAGCAGGUAGAUAGAUCGAUAACAUCGGCUCCAUGAGCCAGGUCUGUGAUCAUGAGAGCCCAAAGACUUAUGUGGCUCACUGAGACCCAGGCCUAGCCUAACUACCAAGAGGGACCUUUGUAGACUAGGGUCACUGGAAAUGUUCAAGAAACCGGGGUGAGGGUUCCUUGUGUGACUGCUUGGAUUACAUUUCUGUCCUCUGCUAGCAGAGGAGAAAACUGCUUCUAAAGAACGUUGUAUGGAUGAGGGAGUAUUCUUUUUCUUCUCUGCUUUUUGAACAAAAGCAUGACCUGGGUACUAUGUGAAAGUACUUUAUUUUAUCUGGGAGAGUUGACUCGAACUUAAUUGGAAAAAAAAUCCCAUCAGAUAAUGGGUAAAUUGAGUAUUUGCAGUAUGUCUUAUCUUGGUGAACUGGUACCAGCAAGGGUCCUCAAGGGUAUGUCUCAGGGGUCCAGGGGAAGCUGAAGGAAAAUUGCAGGUAAGAUUAUCAGUUGCAGGAUGAUAGCAGGUCUGCCCAGCCGUCUCUCCAGGAGUUGGUUGGGGGGAGCAUAAAGCCAAUGACCAUACAGAGUGAGAAUGUUCUAGAAUCUGACAGGGCUGGCUAUCCAGGGAGAAAUAGACAAGGUACCUCUGGUUUUGUGUGAAAGGUGAAAGUCUUACAUUGGCUUUUAGAGUUGGUGAAUACCUUGUGUGAGGAGAAAACAUCUAUCUCUACUCCAGCUUGCCAGUCCCUACUUGGUUGGGCCUUUUUGAUUCAUAGGAAGACAGUUUUUGCAUAACACUUUUAAGAAUUUCCACUAGAGAUAGAAAGAGCAAUAUGAUUCAAUUUGGAUUGAUUUCUUUAUUCUGCCUUCUCUUGUAGGGAUGAGAUGUGCUUUAGGGCCGACCACCAGCACUUUGACAAGGACACCUUGAGACACAAAGGGAUCGUUUCGGGCUUGAGACUGUGGAAUCGAACUCAGGGACUUGCACUUGCCAGGCAGAUGCUGCGCCGCUGAGCUACAUUCCUGGCCCUGUGAGUUGUUUUAAUAGGAUUCUGUUCUAUUUUAUUUACCAGAAAUAUUCUAUCCUCCAAUGAGUGUAUUUUAGUAUCAAAGCCCAUCGAGAAAAACUGGGGUCAGAAGUGGGCUUAUUUGGGCAGCCUUGAGAAAAGUCCAGCAUUCUUCUGAUAUUUCCUGAAAACCAGUAUUUUGGUCCUGAUAUUGCCUGUGUCCAAGGUUCCCUUUUAUGGAGUGGAAGGGAUGCUUGUUUUCUUCUUCUAGAACUCUGGUAUUAUACUUUUAUCAUUUAAAAGACUAACAUUCCUGCGUUUCCACAACUACAUGCCUUCAGCUUUCUCCUCUUAAACUCGAGGCCCAUUUCCUCCUAUUUCUGUGUGGAGACUUUGGAGUAGGGGCUUCGUGAACAGGAGCCAGAGGCAGGGUGGUGGCUUUGCAGCAUUUGGUUGACAGGCAGCAGCUGCCUUUCUAUCAGCUGACCCUGCUGGACAUUUGCUGGUCCCACUGGCCAGUCCCAAGGUGCUGGCUCCCUCUAGCGCAGCUCCCGGGUGUUGCUCUGUGUCCAGAGCAGAAGGAACUGGGCCUGGCUGAGCAGAGAUGGAGACUGAAGGCAGGAGAGGAAAGGCAGUUAGCAGUGGGUGCAGGGCCAGAACCUGGCACUCUGGGGCACCUUGGGAUUUCUUGCUGUUCCCAGCUGCAGGGUCGGGCUGCACUGAAGUACUCUCACCUUUUCUGUGUUUGCUUUCGUGGGUGCGCUGCACUUCAGCCCUUCACUGGCUCCCCACUGGCGGUGUCCCCCACUGCUGGGUGGGCUUCAGGGCAGGCCAGCUGGGGUGGGCCCCUCUCUCUAGUGAGGGUUCUGGAAGACUCUCUACUUGGGUUGGAUGGCAGUUUGAUUUCUGGCAUUUUCAAUGGUGGGAAUGCAGCCACUUGUACGGUCGCGUGUGUGUGUGUGUGUGUGUGUGUGGGUAUACAUAUGUGGGGGUGCUUGUAUGUGAAUAAGUGUGUUUGUGCAUGCACCUACCGACAGAGGAUGGCUAUGUGGACUGAAGGGGCAGACAGGGUUGUUCCAACCCUCCCCUGGGCACACUCGGGACGACCAGCACAUAAUCUGUGGGCCAAGUGCAAAAGGAAAACUCAAAAGCCCCUUGUUUCAAAGGAUUCAGAAUUUCAAGAUGGGAACAGCAGAGUCUUAAGCCGAACUGGGGCCCUUCUGAGUGUGGGGCCCGUGGUGACCAUGGCUGCCCCACGCUCUCCUAGGCUUCCCUGGCCACCCUGUAUUUCCAGACGGAUCUUGAAGCAGGUAGAGCCUUGUUUUCUGUCUUUUCCCUUGGAAAUGUGCCGAGCUGGGCUGAUGCGCUUUUCAAAACUUCUGCUUUUAUUUCCUAAAAGCAUAAAUGGUUGGACCAAUUAGAGGACACAGAACCAAAUCAGGAGGGAGUUGUCACCCACGGUGGCCAGAGAGAGUCACUGGGGGUGACACUGGAUGUCAAGCACCUUUGAACUUCAACCAUUGAACUCACUACCUUGAAGUAGAAUCCUUCUCUUGUGGUUAGUCAUCCCCUGGAGCUUUUCUCUUCAUUCCUGGUGGGAUGGGAAGGCUUUUCCAAACUUCUGCUGUCAAAGAGAAGCUGGGAGGUCCUAGAAGUGCUCAGUGUCUCUUCCCAGUGGCUGGACCCUUGUUUCUCCCUGGGGAAGGGGUUCUGUGGAGCCACCGUCUUCCAGCUGGACUCUCUCUGUAGGAUCUCAUUUGGCUUUUAGACAGGGUGGUGUUAGCAGAGAGGAAAGACCCCCAUGUCUGCAUUCUAGAAGACCAUGGCACCGGGGCAGCUGAUGACCAUGGAUUUGCCCCUCCUAGCUAUGUGCUUGCUGCUUUCUUUCACAAGCUUAUGCUUCACUGGGCUGGAUGUUCCAAAAACCUGUGCAGUUCUGCUUGGUUCUGCAAACGUAGCACUAUUUCUAUACACAUAGAGCAAAAAUUACUUCCUGCAUAUCCUAAUUCUUUCUGGGAUUAUGUUUGCCAAGUGAAAACAUUCACAGAAGGUCGAACAGAAAUUACAAACCCAUCUCACAUGGAUUUGACUAAGUCGUCUUGAAGGAAAUAACAAAUUAUAGCUUCAUUUCCACGUGUUGCACAAUCUUUCAAACUACGUAAAUUUCACACUACAUAAAGCAUUUUCUAGACGCAUUUAACUAAUGUUGUAUCAGAGUGAGUUUUACUAAAUGAAUAUUUUGAGAUACAUCUUAUAAAUCAACAUCCUUAAAAUGUUAUCUGCUAAGUAUUCACUGUGUCAGAAAGUAGAUAUUCUAGCAAGAUCCUUGUUGAGGAUGUUUGGUUUUAGACAUGCACUUAAAGCAUAUAUUGCCAGUAACCCAAAUAUCUUUGAAGUGUGAGAUCAGUCUAGGUCUUUGCCUGCUGCAGCACAAGCAGCUCUGGCCUGUGCCCUCCUCUUCGCACCAGAGCUGUGUAGAUGAGGCGUUGGCGACCAUCUCACCCUGUCGUAUUGCCUUAGCUCCAUCAGCUCUCUCCCCUCACGUGAAUAGGCGGUGAACAUAUGUGUAAAUACAGGUGUACAGAUGAGAAACUGCCCCACAAUGUCCUGUGUAUGAUAAUCAGCUCACAACUUCCAGUUUUCUGCAUUUUAUGCUGUGUCCAGCUAAGAAAAAUGCAGAAUUCCACUGCAUAAUGUGAAAAAGGCUGUGCUUUUUAAAAGGUUAGUUGUGAAAUCUCUGCUAUAUGUUUAUGGAAAUGACCAUGAUUAAAUGUAUGUAUGGUAUGUAAGGCUAUGCUGUUAAAUGUCGCUUAAACUAACAUAGAUUGUGUAGUCUAAAAUAUUUCACUUGUUACUGUAAAAUGUGAU